AGAGUUUGAUCCUGGCUCAGAGCGAACGCUGGCGGCAGGCUUAACACAUGCAAGUCGAGCGGGCGUAGCAAUACGUCAGCGGCAGACGGGUGAGUAACGCGUGGGAACGUACCUUUUGGUUCGGAACAACACAGGGAAACUUGUGCUAAUACCGGAUAAGCCCUUACGGGGAAAGAUUUAUCGCCGAAAGAUCGGCCCGCGUCUGAUUAGCUAGUUGGUGAGGUAAUGGCUCACCAAGGCGACGAUCAGUAGCUGGUCUGAGAGGAUGAUCAGCCACAUUGGGACUGAGACACGGCCCAAACUCCUACGGGAGGCAGCAGUGGGGAAUAUUGGACAAUGGGCGCAAGCCUGAUCCAGCCAUGCCGCGUGAGUGAUGAAGGCCCUAGGGUUGUAAAGCUCUUUUGUGCGGGAAGAUAAUGACGGUACCGCAAGAAUAAGCCCCGGCUAACUUCGUGCCAGCAGCCGCGGUAAUACGAAGGGGGCUAGCGUUGCUCGGAAUCACUGGGCGUAAAGGGUGCGUAGGCGGGUCUUUAAGUCAGGGGUGAAAUCCUGGAGCUCAACUCCAGAACUGCCUUUGAUACUGAAGAUCUUGAGUUCGGGAGAGGUGAGUGGAACUGCGAGUGUAGAGGUGAAAUUCGUAGAUAUUCGCAAGAACACCAGUGGCGAAGGCGGCUCACUGGCCCGAUACUGACGCUGAGGCACGAAAGCGUGGGGAGCAAACAGGAUUAGAUACCCUGGUAGUCC
rnacentral:rRNA from 1 species